CCCAAUCAGAGUGCUAAGAUUGAUGGCCAGCAUUGCAUUGAUCCCAAUGCUGUGAUCUAAAACAAUGACAGUUCCUCCUAAGAUGGGGACCACAGUGCUAUCUAGCUCAUCGAGGGUAAAAUACAUCACAGGAAUCUCUUGUUGUCAGGAGGACCAGGUUUUCAUUAGCCCAUUUAACUCAGCACAGAUAACUGAAGCUACUUUUCAAAGUUGGUGGGGAAAAGAGGGUAUUUGGCUGCUUUUUAAAAAGCAGUUCAAAGGCAUGGAUGUGACUCUCUGUACAGCGGCCUGCCGCCAAUGACUGACUGGUGGAGCGAUUCUGUUACUGAAGCAGAUGGCAGGAUAUCCUGCUGUAGAGAUUGUCUCAGAAUGGUUCAAAGGGAACAGCACAGUGGAAAUUAUGCGCCUCGGUCCCAUAUCGAAGUAAUAAAGUCGCAUCAAAGACGCCGAUUACCUUGUUACAUAAACCAGUGCCACGGCUUCAUAGUUGUGUGGGUUACAUUAUUUAAUUGAACCGUGUGGGUGUUUUUUUGUAAGAAUGUGUGUAGAACAUCGAGUUGUAGACUUCAUUCAGUGAUUUCAUCCCUGGACGGCCGAGGAAACCUUUCCGAUGUAUUGGAAAAUUCGCUGCUGGCCCAACGCAAGCUUAUUUUGUUCCUGCAGAGGCCCUGAUUAUCACCAGAGUCAGUGGCCACCAGUGGUCAGAAACUCAUCACUUGGCACCGAGCUUCAAAUCCUCAUGUGUCUUGCUACUCAUCCCGUAGCGCUCUCUUUUUUUGAUUGCUGUUAAGCCUUAAUGUGGGCAGGAUGGGGUGAUGAGGAGACGGGCUUUCUUAAUCAAACCGCUGAGCGUUUAAUCUUGUCGGUGAAACAUCUGGCGGGCACCUUUUCUCAUUUGUUUCUUUGACAUCGGAUUCCACCACCUCGUGCUCGGAGGACAUUUUCAAAAGGGAUCUUCAUCCUUAUGGCACGAGGACUCCUCAGAAUGUGCCCUGUGAAAAUAAUCCAAUGGUAAAGCCCAAAGGUAUGGCAUGCGUCUGAUCUCCAGAUCACAUGUGCCAUGAACGAACCACAAUUGAGUCCAUAUGGUGCUUUCAAGUGCUAGGAGCGAACCGUGAUAAAUAGGAAUGAAUCAAGGAUAAAGCCCCUGGCUUCGGAGAUUUGUCCCAAGCAGCUGGCUUGUGGCCAUAGGUUUUUGCCAUGAUGUAAUCAGGACACGCAGGUAUUUAUAAAGCACAAGUAAAAAUGGGCCUUCUUUGAUUGUUUGCUCUUGAUGAGGGGGAAUAUUACCCUCAAGUAUUAUAUUCAAGUAUAUUACCAGGUAUACAUUUUCCAGUCUUAAAAGAGACUUCAAAAGUGAGCAUCGAUAUGCCCUGUUUGCUUCAAAAGCGCACUUGAAGUGAAUACUCAAGAUACUGAAGGGUGCAGAGCUUUACUGUCUCAUAGGGGCUGAUUUGGAACACACUACACGAAGAAACACGAUACUGUUACAUUUUGAAUUGGAAAUGUACUUUGCAAAUCAAAUGCUUAUUGCUGAUUACUGUCAUUAGUGUGGUGAAUAAAUCUUCAGAUUGUGUCUUUAAAGGGAUAGUUCACCCAAA